rnacentral:rRNA from 1 species
UACAGAGGGUGCGAGCGUUAAUCGGAAUUACUGGGCGUAAAGCGCGCGUAGGCGGCUUUUCAAGUCGAUUGUGAAAUCCCCGGGCUUAACCUGGGAACUGCAGUCGAGACUGUCUAGCUAGAGUAUGGGAGAGGGAAGUGGAAUUUCAGGUGUAGCGGUGAAAUGCGUAGAUAUCUGAAGGAACAUCAGUGGCGAAAGCGACUUCCUGGACCAAUACUGACGCUGAGGUGCGAAAGCGUGGGGAGCGAACCGG